rnacentral:rRNA from 1 species
UACGGGGGGGGCAAGCGUUGUUCGGAUUUACUGGGCGUAAAGGGCGCGUAGGCGGCGCAACAAGUCACUUGUGAAAUCUCCGGGCUUAACCCGGAGCGGCCAAGUGAUACUGUCGUGCUAGAGUGCGGAAGGGGCUACUGGAAUUCUCGGUGUAGCGGUGAAAUGCGUAGAUAUCGAGAGGAACACCUGCGGCGAAGGCGGGUAGCUGGGCCGACACUGACGCUGAGGCGCGAAAGCGUGGGGAGCGAACAGG